UUUUUUUUUCUUUUUUAGGGAAAUCUGAAUUAACAAAGGUGGAAUUUUUUGAGGAAAAUGUUGAGCACCAGCCAGUGGUAAAGAAAGAAGCGAAGGCAUCAACUGCGAGGCAAGAGUGGUGAAGAAGAGGUGCAGAGGAGCAAAGAGAAAGGCACACUGGGCAAAUGGCUGUCCCGGUCGUCAGGUCUGUGGACAUGUAAGAAAAGCAUGGCCGGCACCUUUGGUGUCCUGGCCAGCUUUGCAAAUUGGAGAGAAGGAGCUUCCGUUUGCCUUUGGGACCAGGGCUGCCCCAUAACUCGGGGCCCAGCCAGUGCCCUAGUGUCCACUUUGUGGUCCAGGCAGGGGCUUGAGCCCCCUAUAAGCAGGGGUGCAGCCUGUCUGGCUGCUGCUUUGCCUGCCCAGCUCCGUUUGCCCAGGGUGCCCGCCUCUGAGCCCAGCUCCAGCACCAGCUGGACCUCUUCUACGUGUCCUUCAGUGGCAGCCGGUGGCGAAGAAAGAAGAGGCAUCAUGUGGAACUGUGAGGCAAGAGUGGUGAAGUAAAGGUCUGAAAUGAAAGGUGCUUCUACUCCUUUUUCAAUAUUGUGGUAGUUUGAAAUGAAGUAGUCUGAUUAAAUAAAUCCUGUAAAUAUGUAGUAAGUUUAUAAGACUCUUUUGGCAGUACUUUGAAUUUUUCCUGUAUUCAAAUUAGAAACCUUGACAGUAAUGAUGGUCCCAAAUCAAUUGAAAUAUGGCCUUUCAUUGCCCUCCCUCCUCCCCCUCUCUGCCGCAAAUGAAUCACUUUUAAGGACAACUUCAUGACAGUAAUAAUGAACUUUGCAGCUAUAUCCUUAUGGUAUAUAGACUCAUAACUACCUUCUACUGUAAAACUUUCAUGUUGAAACAACACUACUGUCAUAUUACUUUUCAAGGGUUCAUUUUAUCUAUAAAAAUAAUUUUAUAUUCCAUCAAGUUUGCUCUUCAGGUUUUUGAACCCUACCAUUCAUAAUAUUUGCAUCUUCCCUUUCAAGAAACUCCUCACGAUGUAGUGUGGUUUUAUAUCCAACAAAAUUUUAAAUAAAGAAGUUA